UGUAGGACAUGGGGAAAGAGACACUGAGUUACUUGCCCUGAUACACCCGAUGUGUAUGGGCCAUUUGAUGUGUAUGGGCUAUUUGAUGUGCAGGUCAGGGGUGGUUGUGCCUACUUCGUUAUCUUUAUCGAUGAUCUGUCUAAGUACGGAUAUGUAUAUCUGAUGAAACACAAGUUUGAGGCCUUUGAAAGGUUCAAAGAAUUCAGACAUGAGGUAGAAAAAUAAACAGGCAAAUCCAUUAAGAUUCUUCGAUC
rnacentral:lncRNA from 1 species